CAGUCGCCGCGGUAAUACAGAGGGUGCGAGCGUUAAUCGGAUUUACUGGGCGUAAAGCGUGCGUAGGCGGCUUUUUAAGUCGGAUGUGAAAUCCCUGAGCUUAACUUAGGAAUUGCAUUCGAUACUGGGAAGCUAGAGUAUGGGAGAGGAUGGUAGAAUUCCAGGUGUAGCGGUGAAAUGCGUAGAGAUCUGGAGGAAUACCGAUGGCGAAGGCAGCCAUCUGGCCUAAUACUGACGCUGAGGUACGAAAGCAUGGGGAGCAAACAGGAUUAGAUACCCCGGUAGUCCCUGUCUCUUAUAU
rnacentral:rRNA from 1 species